GUUCUUUAGUAGAAGGAUAACAUGACAUAGCAGGAAUAAUACUGCCUUUUCUUUCUGGCAUGGAUCAAGAGAAAAGAAAAUACAAGAAAACAGACAGAAGGCUUCUGACAGCUUUGGAGAUUGUGACAUUGGAAUAAAGGAAAAACGUACAGGACUCAUGAAGCGCUGAAAUGUUCACAAAUAUCAAGCAAAAGUCAAUGAAAUUUAUUUUGAGCUAUUUACAUCAUUUAAUAAUUGAGCAAGGUAUACUCCUAUGAACAAAAUUUGGAGCAUGUUUGUCUCUCUCUGCCUGGCGUCUUCAGAAUUUGGAAACUAGUUAAAAUUGUUGUCUUAUUUUCAUCCUCUUUAAAAGAUGGUUUAUAAUCAGCUAUAGAAUUUUAACACGUGCUCUCAAAUGCAAGUUUCUGAUAACUUUGGAGAUUGUGACAUUGGAAUAAAGGAAGAGCUGGAAUGUUCAUGAAUAUCAAGCAAAAGUCAUGGAAAUUUAUUUUGAGCUAUUUACAGCAUUUAAUAAUUGAGCAAGGUAUACUCCUAUGAACAAAAUUUGGAGCAUGUUUGUCUCUCUCUGUCUGCCUGGCAUCUACAGAAUUUGGAAACUAGUUGUGCUGUACUGCAUGAGAAUGCCUGCAUUUAGUAUGCGAACUGGAAUUGGCAAAGGACGAUGGCUGCUCUCCCGCUAACUUUAAAUAAGUCAUGUCACAAAUUGCAUGUAAGACUUAUAAAAUAUUAACGUUGGGAGACACUGAAACAAAUCAGUAUUUCUAUUAACCUGCGAAAAGAUCUUCCAAAUAUAUAACCAAAGUAACUAAAACAAAUACUAAAAAGAGUUUACUUUUAAAACUAGGUUUAUGAAAUAUUUUCCCCAAGUUUGCAUGAUUAUUAGAAAAGUGGCUUAAAGAGUAAAGAAAAACUGGAAUCUUGUUGACCCCAAGUACUCCUCUAACCCUUUUGCUCUGCUGUUACAAUGGACCAGUAAAUCUUCAAACAUAACACCUCUUAAAUUAAAAACAGAAAUGGUGUAGAUUGCACACAUUACAACAUUUUUUUAGGCUUACUUCUUUUUUUCAAUAUUAAAGCUUAUUUUUCACACAU
rnacentral:lncRNA from 1 species